UACGUAGGGAGCAAGCGUUGUUCGGAUUUACUGGGCGUAAAGGGCGCGUAGGCGGCGCGGUAAGUCACUUGUGAAAUCUCUGAGCUUAACUCAGAACGGCCAAGUGAUACUGCAGUGCUAGAGUGCAGAAAGGGCAAUCGGAAUUCCUGGUGUAGCGGUGGAAUGCGCAGAUAUCAGGAGGAACACCGAUGGCGAAGGCAGCUCGCUGGGACGGUACUGACGCUGAGGCGCGAAAGCGUGGGGAGCGAACAGG
rnacentral:rRNA from 1 species